CACCCCGCUGACGAGCGGCGGACGGGUGAGUAAUGCUUAGGAAUCUGCCCAGUAGUGGGGGAUAGCCCGGGGAAACCCGGAUUAAUACCGCAUACGUCCUACGGGAGAAAGCAGGGGAUCUUCGGACCUUGCGCUACUGGAUGAGCCUAAGUCGGAUUAGCUAGUUGGUGGGGUAAAGGCCUACCAAGGCGACGAUCCGUAGCUGGUCUGAGAGGAUGAUCAGCCACAUCGGGACUGAGACACGGCCCGAACUCCUACGGGAGGCAGCAGUGGGGAAUAUUGGACAAUGGGGGCAACCCUGAUCCAGCCAUGCCGCGUGUGUGAAGAAGGCUUUCGGGUUGUAAAGCACUUUCAGCGAGGAGGAAGGCUCUGAAGUUAAUACCUUCAGGGAUUGACGUUACUCGCAGAAGAAGCACCGGCUAACUCCGUGCCAGCAGCCGCGGUAAUACGGAGGGUGCAAGCGUUAAUCGGAAUUACUGGGCGUAAAGCGCGCGUAGGUGGUUAGGUAAGCGAGAUGUGAAAGCCCCGGGCUUAACCUGGGAACGGCAUUUCGAACUGUCUGACUAGAGUGUGGUAGAGGGUAGUGGAAUUUCCUGUGUAGCGGUGAAAUGCGUAGAUAUAGGAAGGAACACCAGUGGCGAAGGCGGCUACCUGGACCAACACUGACACUGAGGUGCGAAAGCGUGGGGAGCAAACAGGAUUAGAUACCCUGGUAGUCCACGCCGUAAACGAUGUCAACUAGCCGUUGGGACUCUUGAAGUCUUAGUGGCGCAGCUAACGCACUAAGUUGACCGCCUGGGGAGUACGGCCGCAAGGUUAAAACUCAAAUGAAUUGACGGGGGCCCGCACAAGCGGUGGAGCAUGUGGUUUAAUUCGACGCAACGCGAAGAACCUUACCUGGCCUUGACAUCCAGAGAACUUUCCAGAGAUGGAUUGGUGCCUUCGGGAACUCUGAGACAGGUGCUGCAUGGCCGUCGUCAGCUCGUGUCGUGAGAUGUUGGGUUAAGUCCCGUAACGAGCGCAACCCCUAUCCCUGGUUGCUAGCAGGUAAUGCUGAAAACUCCAGGGAAACUGCCGGUGACAAACCGGAGGAAGGUGGGGAUGACGUCAGGUCAUCAUGGCCCUUACGGCCAGGGCUACACACGUGCUACAAUGGCCCGUACAGAGGGCUGCCACUCCGGAGAGUGCCCAAUCCCUUAAAACCCGUCGUAGUCCGGAUCGGAAUCUGCACUCGACUCCGGGAAUCGGAAUCCUUAGAAUCCCGAAUCAAAAUGGCCCGGGAAUACUUUCCCGGGCUUUUUAAACCCGCCCG
rnacentral:rRNA from 1 species